rnacentral:tRNA from 1 species
GCCGGGGUGGUGAAACUGGUAGACACGCCAGACUCAAAAUCUGGUGGGCUUACGCUCGUGCCGGUUCGAGUCCGGCCCUCGGUA